rnacentral:rRNA from 1 species
UUUUUAGAGAGUUUGAUCCUGGCUCAGGGUGAACGCUGGCGGCGCGCUUAAUGCAUGCAAGUCGAGCGUNCCNCGNCGGCUUCGGCNNNNNNGGNAAGCGGCAGACGGCUGAGUAACGCGUGAGUAANCUNCCCUUCGGUGGGGUACAGCCCCGAGAAAUCGAGGUUAAUCCCGCAUACGAUCCCUUGNCCCUGGUUGNGGGAUGAAAGCCUNCGGGCGCCGNAGGAGGAGNUCGCGUCCUAUCAGGUAGUUGGUGGGGUAAUGGCCUACCAAGCCGAUGACGGGUAGCUGGUCUGAGAGGACGACCAGCCAGAGGGGGACUGAGACACGGCCCCCACUCCUACGGGAGGCAGCAGCAGGGAAU